GGGCGGUUAGCUCAGCUGGUCAGAGCGCCUGCCUUACAAGCAGGAGGUCGCAGGUUCGAGCCCUGCACCGCCCA
rnacentral:tRNA from 1 species